AUUUAGUUUUCUUUAUUAUGUUUAUUUCUUUGGUUUGUAGUACCUUUUGCAUCAUGAUUUGUUGACUACCUUCAUGUAUAUAUGAAAGAUCCGAAGAGUGACGAUUUUUAAUAUACUGGCUUUUGAGCUUAGCGGUUUACGGGUAGUAAUUUGUUAAAGUAUAUUAAGGUAGUGAAAAAUUAUUCGUGUUUCUUUAUAUCUGAUGGGGGGGUUUGUAGUUUUCUAACUAGGCUAGUUGUUAAGAUAUUAUUAGUCAAUUAAGAGAUUUUUUUUAUUAUUGCAGUUUCUGGGAUUAAAAGUUUCCUUGAUUUACUGAGUUUGUUAAAAAAAUUUUUUUAUUUUUUUUAUCUUUAAUAAAUUGCCUCCCGUUUUAAAUUUUUUAUUAUAAUGAUAGAAUAAGUAAAAUUAAAUUAUAUUCUUUUCUUCUCGUUAAAUGUCGGUCUGUUUAUUAAAAACAUUUCCAUUUUUAAGUUUAGAUGGUAGUUACCUGCCCAAUGUUUAGUUAUUAAUGGCCGCAGUAUAUUGACUGUGCGAAGGUAGCAUAAUUAGUUGCCUCAUAAUUGGAGGAUUGUUUGAAUGGUUUGACCAGAUGUUAGUUAAGAUGGUAUUUGAUUUUGAAAUUGAUUGAGAGGUGCAGAAUCCUCAUUGAUUAAAUAAGACGGAAAGACCCCGAGAUCUUUAUACUAUAUUAUGUGUUUAUUUGGGGUAAAGGUAAAUGAUUUAUUUACUUUUUGAUCCUCGUUAUAGAGGUUAAAGGUUUAGUUACCUCGGGGAUAACUGUGUAAGAAAUAAUUAGAGAUCUUAUCGAUUUAUUUAUUUGCCACCUCGAUGUUGACUUGGAGAUUUGUGUAGGCGCAGUAGUUUACGUGGAAGGUCUGUUCGACCAGUAAUUCUCCUCAUGAGUUGAGUUAAGACCGGCGUGAGCCAGGUCGGUUCUUAUCUAUUUUUCAGUUUAUUUAGUACGAAAGGAAUAAUAUUCUUUUAUGUU
rnacentral:rRNA from 1 species